UUCAGCUUACACCUGAAAAAUGUCUGCUAACGCCAGAUCGUCUUGAUGCCAAACUCUAGCCCAAUCGACAUGACCUGGAAUAACAAAGCCACUUCCCCCCACCCAACUAAAGCAUUUACCAGUCCUAGUAUAGGCGAUAGAAAAGACACCAUUGGCGCGAUAGAGAUCACGUACCGUAAGGGAAAGAUGAAAUAGCAAUGAAAACUAAGCUAUAAACAGCAAAGAUCAACCCUUGUACCUUUUGCAUCAUGGUCUAGCAAGAAAAACCAAGCAAAAUGAAUUUAAGUUUGCCACCCCGAAACCCAAGCGAGCUACUUACGAGCAGCUAUCAUUGAGCGAACCCGUCUCUGUGGCAAAAGAGUGGGAUGACUCGUUAGUAGAGGUGAAAARCCAACCGAGCUGGGUGAUAGCUGGUUGCCUGUGAAACGAAUCUUAGUUCACUCUUAAUUCUUCUCCAAGGAACCCCACAAACCCUAAUGAAGCGAAUUAAGGGCUAUUUAAAGGAGGUACAGCUCCUUUAAAAAAGAAUACAAUCUCUUCGAGCGGAUAAAUACUAACCCCUUGCAACUGAAUUGUGGGCCCUCAAGCAGCCAUCAACAAAGAGUGCGUUAAAGCUCUACACCCCAAAAAUACAAGAACCCUAUGACUCCCUCCUCAUUAACAGGCCAACCUAUAUUUAAAUAGGAGAAUUAAUGCUAGAAUGAGUAACCAGGGUCCUCCCUCUACGACGCAAGCUUACAUCCACACAUUAUUAACAAACACUCAAUAUACGACAAAUCAAACAAGCACAGUAUUAAGCAUCUUGUUAACCCGACAGAGGAGCGUCCACUAAGAAAGAUUAAA
rnacentral:rRNA from 1 species